UGAUAGCUGUGAAGCGGAGGUUGCUGUAUCGAUAUGAUGCAGGUUUUUCGUGGAGCGAAUGUCAAUUUACAAAACUGGCGACAA
rnacentral:ncRNA from 1 species